CGGGUAAGUUCCGACCUGCACGAAUGGCGUAAUGAUGGCCAGGCUGUCUCCACCCGAGACUCAGUGAAAUUGAACUCGCUGUGAAGAUGCAGUGUACCCGCGGCAAGACGGAAAGACCCCGUGAACCUUUACUAUAGCUUGACACUGAACAUUGAGCCUUGAUGUGUAGGAUAGGUGGGAGGCUUUGAAGUGUGGACGCCAGUCUGCAUGGAGCCGACCUUGAAAUACCACCCUUUAAUGUUUGAUGUUCUAACGUUGACCCGUAAUCCGGGUUGCGGACAGUGUCUGGUGGGUAGUUUGACUGGGGCGGUCUCCUCCUAAAGAGUAACGGAGGAGCACGAAGGUUGGCUAAUCCUGGUCGGACAUCAGGAGGUUAGUGCAAUGGCAUAAGCCAGCUUGACUGCGAGCGUGACGGCGCGAGCAGGUGCGAAAGCAGGUCAUAGUGAUCCGGUGGUUCUGAAUGGAAGGGCCAUCGCUCAACGGAUAAAAGGUACUCCGGGGAUAACAGGCUGAUACCGCCCAAGAGUUCAUAUCGACGGCGGUGUUUGGCACCUCGAUGUCGGCUCAUCACAUCCUGGGGCUGAAGUAGGUCCCAAGGGUAUGGCUGUUCGCCAUUUAAAGUGGUACGCGAGCUGGGUUUAGAACGUCGUGAGACAGUUCGGUCCCUAUCUGCCGUGGGCGCUGGAGAACUG
rnacentral:rRNA from 1 species